GACGAACGCUGGCGGCGUGCUUAACACAUGCAAGUCGAACGGAAAGGCCCUGCUUUUGUGGGGUGCUCGAGUGGCGAACGGGUGAGUAACACGUGAGUAACCUGCCCUUGACUUUGGGAUGACUUCAGGAAACUGGGGCUAAUACCGGAUAGGAUCUCCUGCUGCAUGGGGGGGGUUGGAAUGUUUCGGCGGUUGGGGAUGGACUCGCGGCUCAUCAGCUUGUUGGUGGGGUAGUGGAUUACCAAGGCUUUGCCGGGUAGCCGGCCUGAGAGGGUGCCCGGCCACAUUGGGACUGGGAUGCGGCCCAGACUCCGACGGGAGGCGGCAGUGGGGAAGAUUGCACAAUGGGCGGAAGCCUGAUGCAGCACCGCCGCGUGCGGGAUAACGGCCUUCGGGUUGUAAACCGCUUUCGCCUGUGACGAAGCGUGAGUGACGGUAAUGGGUAAAGAAGCACCGGCUAACUACGUG
rnacentral:rRNA from 1 species